UAAGUCCAACAAGGGUGUCCCUGGGGACAGGGCUCCCUGCAGCACUGGGGCUGUGCUGCCGAGCUGCCGGGCUCCCACUGUCAUGCAUGAGCCCCGGCUGUGCAGCAGGGCCUGACCACCUUCUCUGCCCCGUGUUCACCUACAGGGGAAGAAGGAGCGGGCGAGGAGACGGGGGCUCGCCUUCUGGAUACAGACGAUCUGCCUCAUCCUGGUCUGCCUCCAGCUGCUACUCGUUGUCGUGCUGGGCUCUGCAGUACUGUACGCCCAGCACUAUGACCAGGAGCUCUUCUAUCAGCUCCUGCCUCGAGUGCUGCCCCGGGCAAUGUUCGCUUCCCUGGUGUACUUUACAAGCAGUACCCUGCAUGUGGUCUGUGAUGGGCUGCUGCCCAUCUGACCGCCCUGCUCAGUAACCCUUCCCAGCUCGGGGCUGCGCGGUGGGGCGUGGGGAGAGGGGUCUGUCCCCACGGAAGGGGCCUCUCCUGUGCUCCUGCCCCCCAGAGGCGCACAGGCACAGCUGUGGGCAGUGCAGGCAGGUGGCCGAGUGCCACCGCUUUGGACUUAUCAGUAAGUUUCUACUGUCGUCGUGAGUCGUUGCCAGCUGAACAGCACCACCUGCGACAACCCAUCAGACUGAAGAUCCACACCUGACACCGGGACGUGGCUGGAUCUACGAGUGCUUUGCUGUCUGUCUGUCCCUCUUUCCCCAUUUCCUGCCUUUUCUCUUUGCCAUCUCUUAUUUGACUCUUUGCAGCAGCCAUUGCCUACAAUUGUUUACCUCUACCGCUUACUCAUUGCAAUUAGCCCAUUGGCCAGUGUUACCUCCAAUUGGUUGUUGCUGACUGUUAAGAAAGCUCUCAAAAAAUGGAUGUGUAUUAUU